UACGGGGGGGGCAAGCGUUGUUCGGAUUUACUGGGCGUACAGGGAGCGUAGGCGGUUGGAUAAGCCCUCCGUGAAAUCUCCAGGCUUAACCUGGAAAGUGCAGAGGGGACUGUUCAGCUAGAGGAUGGGAGAGGAGCGCGGAAUUCCCGGUGUAGCGGUGAAAUGCGUAGAGAUCGGGAGGAAGGCCGGUGGCGAAGGCGGCGCUCUGGAACAUUUCUGACGCUGAGGCUCGAAAGCGUGGGGAGCAAACAGG
rnacentral:rRNA from 1 species